UACGUAGGGUGCGAGCGUUGUCCGGAAUUAUUGGGCGUAAAGAGCUCGUAGGCGGCCUGUCGCGUCGGAUGUGAAAGCCCGGGGCUUAACCCCGGGUCUGCAUUCGAUACGGGCAGGCUAGAGUGUGGUAGGGGAGAUCGGAAUUCCUGGUGUAGCGGUGAAAUGCGCAGAUAUCAGGAGGAACACCGGUGGCGAAGGCGGGUCUCUGGGCCGUUACUGACACUAAGGCGCGAAAGCGUGGGGAGCGAACAGG
rnacentral:rRNA from 1 species